UCUCAGCUCUUUUUAAAGGCACUCAUGCUGCCAGCCAGAUCAGCAUCAGGUGGCUCUCAUUAAGGUCAGUGUGAGCACCCGAACAAGAGCUCACUGCUCCCAACUCAGCUGCCCGGGUCGAACGUGAGGUGUAGUGAAGCGGCCUCGCCCCUUGCCCUAGUGCCUCUUGUUGCCGGCACCGUCUUCAUCCUCCUCAUCCUCCCAUGGUCACUCAUGUCACUCGGAGCUCGGGCUUUGCCUCCGUCCUCCACCUCUCUCCCCACCAUCCUUGCCGGGGUUUGUCACCGCUCGAUGUUCCGGCCGCCUUCUUGCAACACAGGUUGUCUUUGUACAGGUUUUCUAGCCUAACAAGGCAACAGUUGUGGGUGGAGUAUGUAUAGGUUCGUCGAACCCCCUGGUUCCUGUCUGGUUUGAAGGCCAGAGCCGCCCACCUCAAAGCUGACCUGAAGAAGACCACUGAUCAAGCAGAAGAAAUGUAUGCUGAUGUUUUUGAAAUGGUCACUGUCUUUUACCCUGCCGAAGGUUGUGUGUAUGAGUUGUAUAAUGUGUCUAAAGCCUUAGGGUCUCUGAAUCAUAAGCCACUGCAAGCCAGUCAAUAAAAUCAGUGUUCCGAAGUCUAUUGAUAGAGCUGAGAGGCACAGCAGUGAUUGCAAUGUUCAGUCUGGUUUACAUUUCAUAUAUUUUCAGAGCCCAUAUUUUGAUGAAUGAGUCUGAGUGUGUUCUCCAUCUUUUCUGCUAGAGAGAGGGAGGGAGAACUCAGAAAAUGAUUUAGGGUGUAUCCACAUAUAGUUCUUUUUAAAAAUGAAACAAACUCAGUUCCGUUAAAGCGAAGCUAAAAGGGAACCGACUGCAAAUGUGCUGUUUAUAUUGACAAUGUAACUUUAAAGGAGAUUUGCUUCUCUUUCUGGUCCUGUUUAGCAUCUCAGACCACUUCUUGUUCACAUCAACCCCGAUUUCAGGACGGGUUUUAAGUAGCUUUUGUCCACUUUGACUCAAAUGUAGGGUGUCGGAUGAGCCCUUUGAGGGACGAGAGAUCAAGCAAAAACCAGUGACGACUUGAGCAGCGAAACUUGCCCAAACUUGAAAACAACAGCCAACAAAGCAG
ensembl:lncRNA